AGAAAAAAAAAAACCCUGAGAAAAUCUAAAGACCAAUUGAAUCUUAGGUGAAAACUCAGGAUGACAAGAAAGAACUUUCAAAGAGAGAAAUUUCAUUUCUGAUUCUCUAUUAGUACAUGUUGACAUCCAUAUUUUUUAUUUUCUUUAUGGGGGGUGGCAUCUUAUCAUCUUUACAGAUCACAAUUAAAUUAUACAUUUAAACAUUCAUGGGCUAUCUACUUAACUGAGGACCGACACCAGAGAACAGAAAUGCUACAGGGAGAAGAUGCAUUUCUACGUAUCUGGGGUCUAAGAACAAAUCACAGGAUGACUUCCAUCAGUAAUGCUAUGGACCCAGAGAAGAAGCAAAAGUGUCCAAGACACUAUGAAAUGCAGCUCACUCUGCCAUUUCCCAUCGGAAAUAAGAGAAUGCGGGAAAUAAAGUGUCAGGAGUUUGAACC
rnacentral:lncRNA from 1 species